rnacentral:rRNA from 1 species
ACGAACGCUGGCGGCGUGCCUAAUACAUGCAAGUUGAGCGAUGAAGAUUGGUGCUUGCACCAAUUUGAAGAGCAGCGAACGGGUGAGUAACGCGUGGGGAAUCUGCCUUUGAGCGGGGGACAACAUUUGGAAACGAAUGCUAAUACCGCAUAACAACUUUAAACAUAAGUUUUAAGUUUGAAAGAUGCAAUUGCAUCACUCAAAGAUGAUCCCGCGUUGUAUUAGCUAGUUGGUGAGGUAAAGGCUCACCAAGGCGAUGAUACAUAGCCGACCUGAGAGGGUGAUCGGCCACAUUGGGACUGAGACACGGCCCAAACUCCUACGGGAGGCAGCAGUAGGGAAUCUUCGGCAAUGGACGAAAGUCUGACCGAGCAACGCCGCGUGAGUGAAGAAGGUUUUCGGAUCGUAAAACUCUGUUGGUAGAGAAGAACGUUGGUGAGAGUGGAAAGCUCAUCAAGUGACGGUAACUACACAGAAAGGGACGGCUAACUACGUG